AUGGCCAGCACCACCACCAGCACCACCAUCACCGUCAUCACCACCACCAUCACUGUCAUCACCAUCUCUACCACCACCACCAGCACCACCAUCACCACCACCAUCACUGUCAUCACCAUCUCUACCACCACCACCACCACCACCACCACCAUCACCACCAUCACUGUCAUCACCAUCUCUACCACCACCACCAGCACCACCACCACCACCACCACCACCACCAUCACUGUCAUCACCAUCUCUACCACCACCACCAGCACCACCAUCACUGUCAUCACCAUCUCUACCACCACCACCAGCACCACCACCACCACCACCACCAUCACCACCAUCACUGUCAUCACCAUCUCUACCACCACCACCACCAUCACUGUCAUCACCAUCUCUACCACCACCACCACCACCACCACCACCAGCACCACCAGCACCACCACCAUCACUGUCAUCACCAUCUCUACCACUACCAUCACCACCACCACGAUCAUCACCACCACUAUCAUCACCGUCAUUACCACCACCACCAUCACCACCACCAUCACUGUCAUCACCAUCUCUACCACCACCACCACCACCAUCAUCACCACCAUCACUGUCAUCACCAUCUCUACCACUACCAUCACCACCACCACGAUCAUCACCACCACUAUCAUCACCGUCAUUACCACUAUCACCAUCACCACCACCACCACUAUCAUUACCGUCAUCACCACUACUAUCAUCACCACCAUCACUGUCAUCACCAUCACCACCACCACCAUCACCAUCUCUACCACCACCACCAUCACCACCAUCACCACCACUAUCAUCACUGUCAUCACCACUACCAUCACCAUCAUCACCAUCUCUACCACCACCACCACCACCACCACCACUAUCAUCACCACUACCAUCACCAUCACACUACCAUCACCACCACCAUCACCAUCACCACCAUCUCUGCCACCACCACCAUCAUCACCAUCACCAGUACUAUCACCAUCACCACCACCAUCAUCACCACCAUCACCCUCACCAUUCCCAGUGGGAGUCAGUUCAGGUCUCUGUAACAAAACACCACUGACUGGGCAGCUUAAACAACAUUUAUUUCUUUCUUGCAGCUCUGGAGGCUGGCAAGUCCAAGAUCAGGGUGUCAGUCCAUCAGGUUUCUAG
rnacentral:lncRNA from 1 species